ensembl:lncRNA
GAGAGAGCCAUAGAAAAUGGCGCGCUGAGGGACAACUUUAUCUUCACGCACCAGCAAGGCAGUUAUUGCUGUCCCUCAGUCCAGCAGUGAAUUUCAAACAGAGAUUCAACCACAAAGACCAGGGAGGCUUUCCAAUGCAUCGCAAAGAAGGUCACCUACAGUAUUGAUCAAUUUUAAAACAAUUUUAAAACAUACAUUGUAUUUAUAUACAAUACCAGUCAAAAGUUUUGAAACACCUACUCAUUCAAAGGUGUUUCUUUAUGUUUGACUAUUUUCUACAUUGUAGAAUAAUAGUGAAGAC